AUGGGUGAUUGAACUCCUCAAAGAGUGUAUGGAGUUCGAUUGGAGCCUAGUUUAUCAAGCUUGAAUAGCAUCCUGAAGAGUGGCAAGGAAGGACUUACAUAAUUGAGCAUCUAAGAUCCGUUAUGAUAUUAUAAGGGCCUUGAAGCUCUCUAGAUGGUCAUAGGGGUUUGUGGUGUCAUUGUAGACUCUGAUCGAUGGUACCUUGAAGCGG
rnacentral:lncRNA from 1 species